ensembl:lncRNA
AAAAGAAAGAGAAGCAUAAAAAAAAUGACAAAUUUGUUACUUAAAGCACAUAGAUUUUUAUUUUUUUUUAUUUUUGUAUUUUAAACAGAUUUUAAAAUUGUUAUUUGAACAUCAUACAUACGCGUACGUAUAAUACGUGUUUAUAUACAUACACAUAUAAGUAUAUAUAUAUAUAUAUAUAUAACAUAUGCUUUCCUUUAACUAUUUCUACUUAUAAGUACGGUAAAUAUUAAAAUACUACAUCAUUAUUUGUUAUAUAUUUACGUUGUGCUUGACGUAUAACAGUAUACACGCACAUCAGAUACGUACCUGCCUACAUGCAUAUAUACAUGCAUACAUAUACGUAAUAUACAUAUACACGUUCAUUUAGCUAUAACAAAAAUGAUUAACACAAACAAAAGUGCCGUAGCAUCCCACGAAAACAAAAACAGUAACAACAGUCCUUAUAGCACUAAAACCUUAUGGGUAGGUGAAUUAGAUAAAAUAAAAGAAGUAGUGGAUGAAAACUAUAUUUUGUAUGGCAUGUUUUAUGAAUUUGCUAAUGAUAUAAUUAAAAUAAAAUUAUGUAAAGAAAAAAAUACACAAAAAAGUUCUUACGCUUUUAUUGAAUUUACAAAUUAUGACAUAGCCAAAUAUUGCUUUGAUCAAUUAAAUGGGAAGUGGAUACCUGGCAAAAUUCACAAGUUUAAAUUAAACUGGGCGAAAUAUAAUAUGUCUGAUAAUGUUAAUAGUAAUGAUAAAAAUUUGGAUGUCGAAUUAGAUGAUAAAGGGACCUAUUCUAUUUAUGUAGGUAACUUACCAAAAAAUACAGCUAAAGAAGAAAUAGAAAAUUUAUUUACGAAUUUUUAUAAUAGUAUUUGUUUUGUUAAAAUGAUAAAAAAUACUCAAAAAAAUCAAAAUAAAAUUUAUUGUUUUAUUCAUUUUUUUAAUUACGAUGAAUGUAUUAAAGCAUUGACACAAAUGGAUGGCUAUAUUUUUAAAGGAAAUAAAAUUAAAGUAAGUAAAUCAAAUGGUAUAAAAGUAAUGAAUUCAGAUGCAAAUAAUUAUUACAACACAAAUAAAAAUUAUGAUAACUAUUCUAAUAAUAUAAAAAUUAUGAAUUUAAAUAAUUAUAAUCAUAAUGCAUAUACGCAAAGAAACUACACAACACACGGAUAUACUCCCAAUAGCUUUAAUCCAAAUAGCUAUAGCCCAAAUAAUUAUAACCCUAACAAUUAUAACCCUAACAGUUAUAACCCUAAUAGUUAUAACCCUAAUGGAUAUAAUCCUAGUGGCUAUAACCCUAAUGGAUACAACCCAAAUGGAUACAACCCUAAUGGAUAUAAUUCUAAUGGUUAUGGUAUAAAUAUGUAUAACCAAAAUAGAUACAAUGUAAACAAUAAUGCUAACACUAAUGCUAACACAAAUACGACUACUAAUGGUACUAAUUCAAAUGGUACAAAUGGAAGCACAAGUACAAAUGGUAUUAGCAGUACAAGCAAUAAUAAUGUCGGUUUGAAAAACUUAACAGAUAAUGAAGAAGAAACUGGUAAUACUAAUGUUAAUGAUGUUAAUAAAAAUAUAUACUAUUAUUAUAAUAAUGUAAAUACCGAUUUAAAUAACCCUUAUGAUAUAAAUUAUUAUGACUCUAUUAAUUCAAAUGUAAAUUCAUAUCCAACAUUUAAUACCACGACUCCUGCAGCUACUACUACUACUACUACUACUACUACUAAUAAUAAUAUUCCAUAUAAUGCUAAUAAUUUUUCAAAUGCAUUAAAUCAGUUAAAUUAUUACACUACUACCCCUUUGGCACAAAUGGGUAAUAAUUAUCAAAAUAAGGUAGGCACUCGUAGCAAUUACAGUGGGAAUAUUAGUAUGAUGAACAGUUACGUGUGUACUAGCAAUAAUAGUGUUGAUAAUGGUAGUAUUAAUAUUGUUAAUGAUUCUAGUGGUAGUGGUAAUAGUAAUAAUGAAAAUAAUAAAUAUAAUAACGGUGACAUGCAUUUUACAAAUAAUUAUGUUAAUUCAGAAAAGGAAACAACAGAAUAUGUUAAUAGUGAUCACCAUAAAACAAAAGAUAUAAAUAGUGCUAAUGUUGAAGACAAUACAAAUGGGUAUAUAGAUUGUAACGAAGAUGAGAACAUGAUUGACGAACAAGAUAAUAAUAUUGAUAUUAGUUAUAGAAAUAGCAAUAUACACACAUCUAAAGACGAAAACGUUAAUGGUACAUCUAGCACUACUACUACAAUUAGUAGAGGUAGUAGUAGUAAUGCUAACGUUACUAGUAGUAAUAAUAUAGAACGAGAUAAUGUGAGUACGGAAGCUGUAAACACAUUUAAUAAUUCAAAUGAUGUGAACUAUUAUAAUUAUACGCGUCCAAACAAAGAAUAUGGCACUAAUGGUACUACAACUGCAACUCAUAAUAAUAAUAACUCCAACCAAAUAAAUGACGAUGAUAAUAAAAAUUGUUAUAAUGAUAGUAUAAUAAAUAGUAACACAAAUAACGACAUAAAUAACUAUAAUAUAAAUAAUAAAAAAGAAUUUACAAAUGAUUAUUAUUAUGAAGGUAAUAAUGGUGAUAGUAACAGUAAUAGUAAUCAGAGCAAAAAUAAAAACAUGUACCAUAAUAAUUUAAAUACUAAAGCUAAGGAUAAUAGUAUUAUAUGUAAUGAUGUAACGAAUGAUAAUAACAAUCAAAACAAUAACGAAGUUAAAAAUAACCUUACGGCUAGUAAUAAUAAUACUAAUGAUGAAAACAUUAAUAGUGAUAACAAUGAAAAUAUUAAAAAUAAAAACAACGACAAGUGAUUAUUUUUUAAUGUCAAGGAGGAAUUCGGAAACACUAACGCAUAGUAAGUGUAAAUGUAUAGAGUACAGUUGACGUUUUAUACAAACAUACAUGUGUUAGCACAUGUAUAUAGUUAUUUUUGUGCACAGAAAAAAAAAAAAAAAAANNNNNNNNNNNNNNNNNNNNNNNNNNNNNNNNNNNNNNNNNNNNNNNNNNNNNNNNNNNNNNNNNNNNNNNNNNNNNNNNNNNNNNNNNNNNNNNNNNNNAAAAAAAAAAAAAAAAAAAAAAAAAAAAGAAAAAAAAAAAAAAAAAACAGUAAAUGAGAUGACAUGACUAGCCAAGUGUGUAGACGUGUGCGGAUUUAAAUUAUGAUUAUUUAUUUUUUUUAACAUAUUAAAAUAUUUAAAUAUUAUAACAAAUGAGAAAAUGUACACACAUACAUAUACACACCAUAUAUACAUCUGUAAUUUGUAACUAUUAAUAAACUCGCAUGUCCUUUCA